GUUUCCGUAGGUGAACCUGCGGAAGGAUCAUUAAUGAGAACUAAGGGUAGUAGUCUCGGCUAUUACUCUGAACACUCCACCCUUUGUUUAUAUUACCUUUGUUGCUUUAGCAGGCCCGCUCUCGAGCCGCCGGCACCUGCUGGCUAGUGCCUGCUAAAGAACCUAAAACUCUUGUUAAUAAUAUUGUCUGAGUACUAUAUAAUAGUUAAAACUUUCAACAACGGAUCUCUUGGUUCUG
rnacentral:misc_RNA from 1 species